GAUAAAGUGGCUGAGUUAGGUGUUAAACUGUAAAUUUAAAAACAAAAAUAAAUUUUUCUUUAUUA
rnacentral:tRNA from 1 species